UCGCGAGCGGUCGACCUUUCGUGCGCGGCUUCGAUAUUUAUCGAAGUCCUCGCCGCGGGCGUAACAAUAUAAUCAUUUCUAAAUUCAUAAAACUGUAUUAUAAUGCAUAAAAAUAUAUAUAAAAUUAAAAUUUGAUUAAGUUAAACAACAUCUUUUGAAUUUAACAAGAGAUAACAAACAUGAAAUAAAGCGAGCUUGGAAAAAUUCCACUUAGCAACGGGUUCCAUUACUUUAAACAUCAUCAUUUGGAAUUACGUAAAAUAUCUCAUGAGAUAGAUUCAAUAUUUGGAGCACAGAUGACUUUUAAAAUGGGAUGUAAUUUCUUUUGGUUAGCACAAGAUUUACGUGAACUUUUCAGUGUGAUACUCAUCAACAAUUAUAUCAAAUCUGAUAAAACAUUAUUCACUGUUAUAAUGCUAUUCCGGC